UUCUCUCAUUCUCCUGUCAUGUCUAAAAUUCGAUGAUUUCAGAAAUAUCAAAUCCCAAAUCAAGCCAUCCUUUUUAUUUUUCGCCGGGUUUUGAGGUUUACAUACAAAAUUUGUUUUAGGGUUCAGUCUCUCUUAUGUAGUCUCUAAAAACUCUCAAGAGCAGCAACACAAAGAAGCAGAAAGGCCCUAAACUUCUCAUUUCCUCGGUUUUUGAUUUGAAAGAUGGUGAAGAGGAUUGACGUUUUCCUCGUCAAAGAGUUUGGAAAUGGAAAUCAAAUGGUUCAGUUCAGUAAAGAACCUAACAAUAAACACUUUGGGUUAGCUACUGCAAAUACUAUUUCAGUUCAAGCUGGAAAAGAUUCAGGUGUUGUGCUGGCUACUAUCAAGACUAACAAACAGAAGUACCCUUCAGCUUUGGUGCACAAAACUGUCAUCAAUCUAGGAAACAUAUCUCGUCUUCUCGUACCACUGAAAUUCAGGUUCAAUAAUCAUUAUUCCUCCACAUAUUUUUAUCAAUUCUGAUCAAAUAGUUUGAUUUCGUUUACUAAUUCUAGUCGAUUUUAUAGUGUAAAGGCAAAACUUUCUGAGAGAGUAUUAGAGCUUCUUGUGUUGCCGGGGGAUGAUGUUCCACGGCUGCUCCUUGAUAUUAGCAAGUUCAUGUUUGAUACUUAAAUUUGUGAUUUUAUUAGUAGACGGCUGAAGUUUGGGAUUAGUUUUGAUUGUUUACUUUGUGUUUUGUUUGUAGGUUGUGGCUCUGGACUAAGCGGAGAAACAUUAUCUGAGAGUGGACACCAUGGAUUGGUUUAGACAUAUCUGAUUCAAUUUUGAGUGAAAUAAUGUUGCGUUGGAGCGGGAAGUAGAAGGUGAUCUUUUGCUAAGCGAUAUGGGUCAGGACAUGGGUUUCAUGGAUGGAGUUAUUAAUGGUGCUAUUAGCAUCUCAGUGGUGCAGGUUGGAAUUCUUUUAACCUCUUAUGUGAAAUGUGCCUUGUUUCUGGAUCAUAUUUAUACUCUAAAGCUUAAUUGCAUGGUUCAGAAUCAGUACAGUAUGUCAUGUAUUUUGGUGCAUGCAUGGGUUGGACAAUUUUCUUUUUCGAAUGCUUUAUUGACUGACGUUAAUACUUGUCGCUAAUCAAAUAGUGGAUUUGUUAUGCGGAUAGGUUCUCUCAUAAUCUAAGACUGAGAUUGAAGUAUGUCUUGAACUGGUUCUUUUUAACAUCUUAUUAAGUUUAUAUUUCAUGUAGACAUGUAUUGAAAUGGCGCAAUUUCAUUGCAGGGCAUUUUUUGGAUCACUAUAUCGGCGUUUACCCUGAAAGCAAUGACCAGCUUGAAUUGAUCCUAGGAUUUGCUAAGCGUGCUGGCAUUGCAGCUGGUGUGGUUGUUGAUUUUUCCCCACGGGUAAAUUUAGGACGAUUUAUGAUGUUUCUGUAACAGACCUUUAAAGUCAUUUUUGAAAGUAUUGCCUUUUAUUGACCCAAAUAUUGGAGGCACAUCUGAUCCUGAUAAAUGGGUUACAAUACUUGGUAAGAAACUCGAUGAAUGGUGGCAAUGGGUAGGUCAUUUUGGAGUCACUAAGUCUGUAAUAUUUGAUUUAUUGAUAUUUUCUUUCACUAAGAUUACUUAUUUGCUUUUGUUGGAGCAGGUGGCUGAAGGGGAGUUUCCACUUGCUGCAUUUUAUGGAGGGUAGGACAUUUCUAGAUACAAAGACCUUGACUGUAGAAGAAGAAGAUAAAAAGCAAUCAAUAUUUACGGGUUUACACAAAUUAAAAGGUAUGAUAUACAAAGAAAAUUAUGUUGUGCAUGCUAUAGAUAGGAAGUCGGGCAAAAGGUGAAUAGAAAUCCAAGUGGUAAGGUAUUUCUCCGCAUGAUAUUGUAAUUUUCUUUCCAGUUUGUACUUUUAGUAUUUUUAGAAUAAUUGAGGUUCCUGAAUAAAGUUUUCUGAAUCAAUUGAGGUUUGUAGGAAACCACCAGCAUUGUUCCGCAACACUGGUAACUAAAUAAUGGUCUUCUUUGACAAUCUAAAUGCUAAAUGGCUGAAUACCUUCUCUAUUCAUUUCAUUCUGUAUAAAUAAGAUCAUUGUACAGCCUAUAACAGGCAACAAAAUAUAGAACUAAUGCUAUAUACUAUUUGGCUAA